GACGGAGGGUGCAAACGUUGUUCGGAAUUACUGGGCGUAAAGCGUGUGUAGGCGGUCCACUAAGUCGGGUGUGAAAGCCCUGGGCUCAACCCAGGAAGUGCACUCGAAACUGGCGGGCUAGAGUAUCGGAGAGGUUGGUGGAAUUCUCGGUGUAGAGGUGAAAUUCGUAGAUAUCGAGAGGAACACCGGUGGCGAAGGCGGCCAACUGGACGAAUACUGACGCUGAGACACGAACGCGUGGGGAGCAAACAGG
rnacentral:rRNA from 1 species